rnacentral:rRNA from 1 species
UACGUAGGUGGCAAGCGUUGUCCGGAUUUACUGGGCGUAAAGAGCGCGCAGGCGGUCGUUCAAGUCGCGUGUGAAAGCCCCCGGCUCAACUGGGGAGGGUCACGCGAUACUGAUCGACUCGAAGGCAGGAGAGGGUAGUGGAAUUCCCGGUGUAGUGGUGAAAUGCGUAGAUAUCGGGAGGAACACCAGUGGCGAAGGCGGCUCACUGGCCUGUUCUUGACGCUGAGGCGCGAAAGCUAGGGGAGCAAACGGG